CUGAAUCUCGACGGUAUGGGCUCGACACUGUGAAAGCCCGUCAAGGGAAAAUUAGAGUCCGCGUUAUUUCUCGACACGAUACCCGGUCUGCAAAAUCUCUUGGCGUUGGACAGCGUCGAGAUAUUUGUCAGAUGUCACGUAUAGAGCACGUGAUCUUGGAGAAAGAAAAAACGCCCCCCGGUAAACUCUCACGCCCAUUAUUUCUCAACCCUAACACUUUUCAGAUCUCAAAUUCGCAUUCACCGUUUUCAUCUCCUUAGUUCAUCUAUUUUGCUCAGCAAUUCUUCAUUUUUCUAUGUUGCGUUUCUCUAUCUCGCUACCUCUCAACUUGCAGAUCUUGUGAGCUACCUUGCAAUUUAGGGUCUUUUGCUAGAUUUUGCUUGAAGGCUAUAUCUUUAAUUUGUGAUGAACGACAACCGCAACAACAGCCGGUGGAGAGUAUGAGAAAUAUGAUGUAUUCUGGAGAUAGUCUGUGGCAAAAAGAACAACAAGACAAUUUCUCAAGUUUCCUAUGAUAUGUGUGUGAGCCGCUUCCAUUGAUAGUUGAUCAUCUUCCUGUAGCGGUGAACUUUGCAUUCUUCACUUGCGGAUACCGUUGUGAUCCAAGUGCUUUGAGGAGGUCAUAGUGAAUGGCCGAAUGACUGUUACAUUAUACAAAUGGAGAGUGCCGUCCAAAAGGGUGGAGGAGUUGGUGUCAUGCAGUUAUAAGUGAAUAAUCAUCAUCCAGGGGUGCUGGGAUACCAGAUCAUUGAGGUGCCCUUCUUUUUUUUGAGGUAAUUUGUAACGAAAAGUGGAUUAUGUUUUGAUGUGUUGCUUAUUUCUCCUAUUUUUGCUUUGUUGUCCUCCUAAUUGAGGUUGUAUGAAGUAUUCCUUGAGGCAGACUUUUCUGAUCUUCAGCUGUUUAUCACUUAGUGAUUGAUCUUUGCUUUGACAGCCUAGAACAUGUACGAUUGUUUGCUGCCAGUGUUCAUUUUUUUCUGCAAAAAUGUUACUUCGUUAUUUGGCCAAGGCAAAACCUGGCAGCUAGUGGACUACUCAAGAUUACAACUGUUUUUAGCCUUGGAAGCAUCUCAGACGUUCAUCUAGUGGUGCAUAUUUGCAGGCUUCUUUAAUCAUAGUUGAUUACUACAACUGAGCAUCAACUUGUAAAUUCGUUAACAUAUAUAGAGAAUCUUCGCUUCAAGUUUUAAUUGUAUUUUUCGGUGAUAUUAUUAAUCUUUGUGAUUCAUUCAUAUCAUUGUUGGACAGAUUGGUUCUAGUCUUGUAAGUUAUGUGGUACUAAAUUUCAUUUAUGAGAAUAAAUUUUGAUUUUGUAGCA